AACAAACGCUGGCGGCGUGCCUAAUACAUGCAAGUCGAACGGGGAAAGCUUUCGGGUGAGUACUAGUGGCGCACGGGUGAGUAACGCGUGGAUAAUCUGCCUUAGAGUGGGGGAUAACUAGUCGAAAGAUUAGCUAAUACCGCAUAAGACCACAAGAACUGCGGUUCAAGGGGUCAAAGGUUUUUCGCUCUAAGAUGAGUUCGCGUAAGAUUAGCUAGUUGGUAGGGUAACGGCCUACCAAGGCGACGAUCUUUAACUGGUCUGAGAGGAUGAUCAGUCACACUGAAACUGAGACACGGUCCAGACUCCUACGGGAGGCAGCAGUAGGGAAUAUUUCACAAUGGAGGAAACUCUGAUGCAGCGACGCCGCGUGAGUGAUGAAGGCCUUCGGAUCGUAAAGCUCUGUCGCAGGGGAAUAACACAAUGAAGGUACCCUGUAAGAAAGGAUCGGCUAACUUCGUGCCAGCAGCCGCCGUAACAC
rnacentral:rRNA from 1 species